GACGAACGCUGGCGGCGUGCUUAACACAUGCAAGUCGAACGAAGUGGCGAACGGGUGAGUAACGCGUAAUCAACCUGCCCUUCAGAGGGGGACAACAGUUGGAAACGACUGCUAAUACCGCAUACUGAAGGAGGGGAUUGCGUCUGAGUAGCUAGUUGGAGGGGUAACGGCCCACCAAGGCGAGGAUCAGUAGCCGGUCGGGGAGGAGGAACGGCAACAUUGGGACUGAGACACGGCCCAGACUCCUACGGGAGGGAGCAGUGGGGAAUCGUCCGCAAUGGAUGAAAGUCUGACGAAGAAACGGGGCGUGAGGGAUGACGGCCGUCGGGUGGUAAAGCUCUGUUAAUCGGGACGCGGUACCGGAAGAGAAAGCCACGGCUAACUACGUGCCAGCAGCCGCGGUAAUUC
rnacentral:rRNA from 1 species